rnacentral:rRNA from 1 species
AUGCCUAAGAUAAAGACAAGCUGUGUUGAAUAUACUGAAGGGUGGGUGCUUAUUGAACCCAUAAUCCAUGAGCUGGAUGCAAAAUUAGAGAAGCUUGAAAACGAUACACAUGACGGGAAUAAAAAGUGCGAAGCACUCUGGCCAAUUUUUCGCAUUUCUCAUCCAAGAAGCCGUUACAUAUUAUGUAUAAUGAUCUUUUCUAUAGAAGAAGGAAGGAUAUAUCAAAGGAGCUGA